rnacentral:rRNA from 1 species
CACGUAGGGGACGAGCGUUGUCCGGAAUCAUUGGGCGUAAAGAGCGUGUAGGCGGCCAGAAAAGUCCGCUGUGAAAACUCGAGGCUCAACUUCGAGCUGUCGGUGGAAACUUUCUGGCUAGAGUCCGGAAGAGGAGAAUGGAAUUCCUGGUGUAGCGGUGAAAUGCGCAGAUAUCAGGAAGAACACCCGUGGCGAAGGCGGUUCUCUGGGACGGUACUGACGCUGAGACGCGAAAGCGUGGGGAGCGAACAGG